GACGAACGCUGGCGGCGUGCCUAAUACAUGCAAGUCGAACGCAGUGGGGACGGGUGAGUAACACGUGGGUAACCUCCCAACAGAGGGGAUAACACUUGGAAACAGGUGCUAAACAGAUAUUGAUGGAUGGACCCGCGGUGCAUUAGCUAGUUGGUGAGGUAACGGCUCACCAAGGCCACGAUGCAUACCCGACCUGAGAUGGUGAUCGGCCACACUGGGACUGAGACACGGCCCAGACUCCUACGGGAGGCAGCAGUAGUGAAUCUUCGGCAAUGGACGAAAGUCUGACCGCGCAACGCCGCGUGAGUGAAGAAGGUUUACGGAUCGUAAAACUCUGUUGUUAGAGAAGCGGUAUCUAACCAGGAAGCCACGGCUAACUCCGUGCCAGCAGCCGCGGUAAUAC
rnacentral:rRNA from 1 species